UACAGAGGGUGCAAGCGUUAAUCGGAAUUACUGGGCGUAAAGCGCACGCAGGCGGUUGGUUAAGUCAGAUGUGAAAUCCCCGGGCUCAACCUGGGAACUGCAUUUGUGACUGCAAGGCUAGAGUACGGCAGAGGGGGAUGGAAUUCCGCGUGUAGCAGUGAAAUGCGUAGAGAUUUGGAGGAAUACCAGUGGCGAAGGCGGCCCCCUGGCACAACACUGACGCUCAGGUGCGAAAGCGUGGGGAGCAAACAGG
rnacentral:rRNA from 1 species